AAUGAACGUUGGCGGCGUGGAUUAGGCAUGCAAGUCGUGCGACAGGCCCGCAAGGGCGCUGAGCGGCGAAAGGGAGAGUAACGCGUAGGUUAUCUACCCUCAGGACCGGGAUAGCUACGGGAAACUGUAGGUAAUACCGGAUGAUGUCUCCGGACUAAAGGUGUGAUUCCGCCUGUGGAGGAGCCUGCGUCCUAUUAGCUAGUUGGUGGGGUAACGGCCUACCAAGGCUGAGAUGGGUACGGGGUAUGAGAGUAUGCCCCCGCUCACUGGGACUGAGACACUGCCCAGACACCUACGGGUGGCUGCAGUCGAGGAUCUUCGGCAAUGGGCGCAAGCCUGACCGAGCGACGCCGCGUGUGGGAUGAAGGCCUUCGGGUUGUAAACCACUGUCAGUGGGGAGGAAAUGCUACAGGGUUCUCUCUGUAGUUUGACCUAUCCGCAGAGGAAGUACGGGCUAAGUUCGUGCCAGCCGCCGCGGUAAAAC
rnacentral:rRNA from 1 species